GAUGAACGCUGGCGGCGUGCCUAAUACAUGCAAGUCGAGCGAACAGACGAGGAGCUUGCUCCUCUGACGUUAGCGGCGGACGGGUGAGUAACACGUGGAUAACCUACCUAUAAGACUGGGAUAACUUCGGGAAACCGGCGCUAAUACCGGAUAAUAUAUUGAACCGCAUGGUUCAAUAGUGAAAGACGGCUUUGCUGUCACUUAUAGAUGGAUCCGCGCCGCAUUAGCUAGUUGGUAAGGUAACGGCUUAGCAAGGCAACGAUGCGUAGCCGACCUGAGAGGGUGAUCGGCCACACUGGAAGUGAGGCACGGUCCAGACUCCUACGGGAGGCAGCAGUAGGGGGUCUUCCGCAAUGGGGGAAAGCCUGACGGAGCAGCGCCGCGUGAGUGAUGAAGGUGUGCGGGUCGUAAAGCUCUGUUAUUAGGGAAGAACAAAUGUGUAAGUAACUGUGCACGUGAUGGUGGUACCUAAACAGAAAGCCGCGGCUAACUAC
rnacentral:rRNA from 1 species